UUUUUUCGAAACUCGGUUUGGAAAAACUCCCAAGUUACUUGCUCUCUGGGAACAACAGAAAUCAACGUAUUCCACCAAUAAUAGGCAGAAUCUCGUAGCAAGGAGAUAGUACACUUAAGGCAUUCAUCGGGUGUGCAAGAUAGUUCAUCAAGUACCCGAAUAGUGUUGUCCAACCAAAAUUCAGCUUGCUCGGCAUCAUCGCUGUCUGUAGCCUUAAAUUCAGUAGCCCCGUGUUUUCGGAUUCUG
rnacentral:lncRNA from 1 species